GGGAAAAAUCUUAAUUGUUUUGGAGAACGUCAUCAUAUAAAUGUUUCAAGCGUUCGUCUUGUUUUUAGUGCCGUUGACAGUUGCGCAGAACUGAUAUUAUUGUGUGGGCAGAAUUCAGACUCAUAUUUAACGGAUACAGCAUCGAAAUAUCUUUUUGGAUUUAGUUUCAUACUAACCCUCAUAUAUUCGGUAUUAGUGAUAUUUAUUGUUUAUAACUGGU
rnacentral:lncRNA from 1 species